rnacentral:rRNA from 1 species
GUGAAAGCUGAGAUAGAAAUCAUAUAACUUCCAUAUUUGAGUUAGACCAGAGAUGGUUGUUAUAUUUCAAAAAAUGUCAGGUAGUUGGCUAUUCCAUUUGUGAAAAGUUUGGAAAUAUUUGCCUAGUGUUAAUAAUGAGCUUCUUGCUCUAACACUCUCUAGUGAGAAAGAGAAAAAAAAACUACCUGUGCCUAGUUUUUAGGUCAUAUUGUUCCGACUACGUCGUAUAAAGUUCUAGAUAGAUAACUGAUAAUGACAACUUUCUAUCUAUAUGUCUUGACCAAAUUACGUGCCAGCAGUCGCGGCAAUACGUAGAAGACUAGUGUUAUUCAUCUUUAUUAGGUUUAAAGGGUACCUAGACGGUAAAACUAGCCCCCAAAGGGAACAGCUUUACUAGAGUUUUAUGUGAGAGGUAUAUGUUAGGACUGUUGGUGUAGAGAUGAAAUUCUAUGAUACUAAUGGGACGGAUGGCGGCGAAAGCAAACCUCUAUGUAUAAACUGACGUUGAGGGACGAAGGCUUGGGGAGCAAAUAGGAUUAGAUACCCUAGUAGUCCAGGCAGACAAUUAUGAAUGUUAUAUGCUAGGUUUUUACACUUGGUGUAUAAAUGAAAGUGCAAGCAUUCCACCUCAAGAGUAAUGUGGCAACGCAGGAACUGAAAUCAUUAGACCGUUUCUGAAACCAGUAGUGAAGUAUGUUAUUUAAUUCGAUGAUCCUCGAAAAACCUUACCACAAUUUGAAUAUUAUUUAUUUAAAUAAUACAAGCGUUGCACGGCUGUCUUCAGUUAAUGUCGUGAGAUUUUGGUUAGAUUCAUUAAUUAACGUAAACCCAUACUUUAUUUAUUAUCUAUAAAGUAGUUCACUGCUAUAUUGGAUUUUGAUAAUAGGGACCAAGACAAGUCAUCAUGACCUUUAUAUUGUGGGCUAUAGACGUACCACAUACGCCUAACAAAGGGAGGCAA